GAUGAACGCUGGCGGCGUGCCUAAUACAUGCAAGUCGAGCGAACAGAUGAUGAGCUUUCUCCUCUGCCGUUAGCGGCGGACGGGUGAGUAACACGUGGAUAACCUACUUCUAAGACUGGGAUAACUUCGGGAAACCGGAGCUAAUACCAGAUCAUAUAUUGUACCGCAUGGUUCAAUAGAGAAUGGCGGUUUUGCUGUCACUUAUAGAUGGAUCCGCGUCGCAUUAGCUAGUUGGUAAGGUAACGGCUUACCAAGGCAACGAUGCGUAGCCGACCUGAGAGGGUGAUCGGCCACACUGGAACUGAGACACGGUCCAGACUCCUACGGGAGGCAGCAGUGGGGAAUCUUCCGCAAAGGGCGAAAGCCUGACGGAGCAACGCCGCGUGAGUGAUGAAGGUCUUCGGAUCGUAAAACUCUGUUAUUAGGGAAGAACAAAUGUGUAAGUAACUAUGCACGUCUUGACGGUACCUAAUCAGAAAGCCACGGCUAACUACGUG
rnacentral:rRNA from 1 species